UACGUAGGGUGCAAGCGUUGUCCGGAAUUAUUGGGGCGUAAAGAGCUCGUAGGCGGUUUGUCGCGUCUGCUGUGAAAACGCGAGGCUCAACCUCGCGCCUGCAGUGGGUACGGGCAGACUAGAGUGCGGUAGGGGAGAUUGGAAUUCCUGGUGUAGCGGUGGAAUGCGCAGAUAUCAGGAGGAACACCGAUGGCGAAGGCAGAUCUCUGGGCCGUAACUGACGCUGAGGAGCGAAAGCGUGGGGAGCGAACGG
rnacentral:rRNA from 1 species